AUGUUAGCGGCGGACGGGUGAGUAACACGUGGGUAACCUACCUAUAAGACUGGGAUAACUCCGGGAAACCGGGGCUAAUACCGGAUAAUAUUUUGAACCGCAUGGUUCAAUAGUGAAAGACGGUCUCGGCUGUCACUUAUAGAUGGACCCGCGCCGUAUUAGCUAGUUGGUAAGGUAACGGCUUACCAAGGCGACGAUACGUAGCCGACCUGAGAGGGUGAUCGGCCACACUGGAACUGAGACACGGUCCAGACUCCUACGGGAGGCAGCAGGG
rnacentral:rRNA from 1 species